rnacentral:rRNA from 1 species
CAGCCGCCGCGGUAACACGGAGGGGGCUAGCGUUGUUCGGAAUUACUGGGCGUAAAGCGCACGUAGGCGGCUUGGUAAGUUAGAGGUGAAAGCCUGGAGCUCAACUCCAGAAUUGCCUUUAAGACUGCCGAGCUAGCAGGUGAGAGAGGUAAGUGGAAUUCCGAGUGUAGAGGUGAAAUUCGUAGAUAUUCGGAAGAACACCAGUGGCGAAGGCGGCUUACUGGCUCAUACUGGACGCUGAGGUGCGAAAGCGUGGGGAGCAAACAGGAUUAGAUACCCGCGUAGUCCCUGUCUCUUAUAA